GCAUGGCGGUGUGCGCUCGCCUCUGCGGCGUGGGCCCGUCGCGGGGAUGCCGGCGUCGCCAGCAGCGCCGCGGCCCGGCCGAGGCGGCAGCGGCCGACAGCGAGCCGGACACGGACCCCGAGGAAGAGCGCAUCGAGGCGGGCGCGGCGGCGCUGGCCGGGGCGGGGGGCGGCCGGAGCGCGGGCCCCUCGUCGCCCCCGCGCUGCUCGCUGCUGGAACUGCCGCCCGAGCUGCUUGUGGAGAUUUUCGCUUCGCUGCCGGGCACCGACCUGCCCAGCCUGGCCCAGGUCUGCACCAAGUUCCGGCGCAUCCUGCACACCGACACCAUCUGGAGGCGGCGCUGCCGGGAGGAGUACGGCGUUUGUGAAAACUUGCGGAAGCUGGAGAUCACGGGCGUGUCUUGUCGAGACGUCUACGCGAAGUGUAUAAACCCUCGAGUGAAGUCGGGCCGUUUCAUGAAAAUUCUUCCCGACUUCGAGCACAUGGAAUACAGAGAUGUUUACACCUGCCUGCUUCACCGGUACAGACACAUCUUAGGACUGUGGCAGCCAGAUAUCGGGCCGUAUGGAGGACUGCUGAACGUGGUGGUGGACGGCUUGUUCAUCAUUGGCUGGAUGUACCUGCCCCCCCACGACCCUCAUGUGGACGACCCCAUGCGGUUCAAGCCCUUGUUCCGAAUCCACCUGACGGAGAGGAAGUCGGCCACGGUGGAGUGCAUGUACGGCCACAGGGGGCCCCACAACGGCCACGUCCAGAUCGUGAAGAAGGACGAGUUCUCCACCAAGUGCAACCAGACGGACCACCACAGGAUGUCUGGUGGGAGGCAGGAGGAAUUCCGCACGUGGCUGAGGGAAGAAUGGGGGCGGACGCUGGAGGACAUUUUCCACGAGCACAUGCAGGAGCUCAUCCUGAUGAAGUUCAUCUACACCAGUCAGUAUGACAACUGCCUGACCUACCGCCGCAUCUACCUCCCGCCUAUCCACCCGGACGACCUGAUCAGGCCUGGCCUCUUCAAGGGCACCUACGGCAGCCACGGCCUGGAGAUCGUCAUGCUCAGCUUCCACGGGAAGCACGCCAGGGGCACGAAGAUCACGUUUCUACGGCACGGGCCUCAUCGCCGGUCACGGCUUCACCAGCCCCGAGCGCACCCCCGGGGUCUUCGUCCUGUUCGACGAGGAUCGCUUUGGGUUCAUCUGGCUGGAGCUGAAGUCCUUCAGCCUGUACAGCAGGGUCCAGGCUGCCUUCCGGAAUGCAGACGCCCCGUCCCCACAGGCCUUCGAGGAAAUGCUCAAGAACAUCCAGUCCCUCGCCUCCUGAUGGCCCGCUCCCCCGCGGCAGGUGGCCCGGGCUGGGAGGGCGGCAGUGUGCGCUCAGGAGAUGCGGCCUCUGACCGGAACACCCACCUCCUCGUAGGAGCCUCAGCGCGGCCUCCCCAGACGCUUUCCGUGGACGCCCACGUAUCUGCCAGUAGCAAUGGGAAAGCUGAGCAUGUCUGAAACAAACAACAGAACCAGAACAAACCGACUUAGAGGACGGGCUGCAGGGCAUGUAGGUGACUGAACUGGAGAAAUGGGCCAUUUUCUAGGGAAAACAAAAUCUUCCUCCAGGGAGGUUCACAACGCAACAGACUCUGUUGCCUCCAGCGAUGGAAGGGGUCAUGCGUGAGGUGUGCGGGCUCCACCGUCCCCUCUGCAGGAAGUGAGCCAGAGGGCCUUGGUGACUUCGACACAGCCUGGGCAGGUGGGGGCACUGUGUGUGGAAUGAGAGCUCCAGGGAGUCGGGCUUGGGACCCACUUCUCUACCGACUUGCUUGGAUUUUGGACAAAGGCAUUUCACCCUGAUCUCAGUUUCCAAAUCAGUGAAAUGGGGCCAAUGAUACGGGUCACUAGGGAACGCCACUACAGGCCUUCCAGCAGCUCGGAGGCCCUGUGAGCACCGCCCGACCCCGGUCCCUGCGCUGCCGUGUGCCUGCCCGGCCUCUCUCAGGCUUUAGAACCUAGAGCUUCACUGCAGCAGGUCAGACAGGCAUUCACUUAGUUCACGCCCUGCCCCCGCCCCGCACUCACUGGUGUCGGACCCUGAGCUGCAGCCGCUGGUCUCAGAACCAGGACAGGGCACCCUCUGAGAUGACCUGCGUCUGUUCCUUCUGCUUGGUUUACACAGGUGCCGCUCUUGAGAGGGGCGAAGCAGCAGAAGGGGUUGUGCCAGAAUCGCAGAAGCAGCAAGCUCUGGGCAUGGCCUUGAAGCGCAGACUGGGCCUCCCUGGAGGCUCCGUGGGGCUGCCCUGGGCACGUCGGGCCGGGCACUGUCGGCCGUCUCGUCCGAGGCACGCAGGCCCACCUCCCAGACCCUUCCAGCAGGACCCGGGGUUGGGUGGGAACGUGGUCCCAGCUCCUGCGUGUCUGGAAGGACUGAGCCUCGGAGCCUGAGGCUCCUCCCUCCCUCUCACAACGCGGCUGUUCUUCUCUCGUGCCAAGCGUGGCCGUCCCCAACGGUGACAACUGGCCGCAAAGCCUUGAGGACCGUGAAAACGGAGGACAGCUGGGCUACGCUGUUCCUCUCUAGGUUUCAUCAUUGUUUAAAUACAA